AAGAAUCAGUGGAUAACAAAUUACUUGAGUCAAUUGGUACAGAUAUUUUCCUUUACCCAAGAUUGUCAUUGAGCUGACAGUGCCACCUUGAAGAUGACUUGCUUUAAAUUCUCCAAUGGUCUAUUACAUAAUUUAAUACAUUUGCAUGAAGGUUUCAUGACAUAUUGGACAACUGGAUAAAAAUAUUCUAGGUGACCAAGAAUAAAAUUUGUUAGAAAGUCAACUUUAAAAAACCCUUACAAUACACAUUUGAUACAAUGCUUCAAGAACUGGAUGUUACUAUUCCCUUCAAUGAAAUCCAAAAUUGUACAAUUUAGUAUUAUGUCCUUUGAGAAUUGUCACCACUCAUGGUGAAAAGCCUCUCUUAAAUUAGCCAGAUAAUUCAAUUAGCUAAAAAUGCUUAGAUAACAGUUGUGCAGUAUACCAUGGCAGCCUUAUUUAAUGUCUUUCCAGCUUGGUAGGAUCUAUUGGAGCUUGUGCUCUGCUGAUACAGCCAGGACACUACUUUCUGCCUGCCAACUACCAUUGAAGUGGGAGACCACUUCCCUUCCCUGUUCCCUGCCUACUUUCCAGAGGUACUCACUGCCUCUGGCGUGGCUAGAUGCCGGCAGGUUUUGGGGGUGGGGGUGGGGUUAUGCCAUCAGGUGAUCUCUCCCUGAGUGUAAGAGGCCCCUGGCACACUUUUAACAAACCUUGGGGUUGCAGAGGAUAACUUGUGUAAACAUGUGACCUCACUCAAAUCUUUUCAAGAAGCUAGUGGAAAAACUGGUAUUAAAAUUAGUCCCUUGUGACAAAGACAGAUUUUUGAGAUAGAAUGAAAAUGUCUAAGUGAAAACAGGGUUUUAAUCAAUUAUUCAGAUGAAGCAACAGAAGAUGAACGGUAGAAUUGUUUGAUCUUUUUUUUUGGCAUGAAUGCUGAAUUCCAUGAUGAUAAGCAUGCCAGGAAAUUUCAUUAUAUAAGAUUCACAAAAUAAACUUGUUCUUGGUAUUAUAAAGCCUGAGGGGGGAAAAACACAUUAGAAAGAUGUCACAUUGUUUAGUUCUCACCAAACAGAAUACAGUUGGAUAGAAAGACUUUAUCCUCCUACUUCCUUGCUGUGCUGAGGCAUAUCUGACAACAGCACCCAUCCGUUUCAAAGGCUAGGUUAAACUCACUGCUAAGAAAUAUUUUUAAGAUUUUUUACUUGUAAAGAGGAUAACAUAGUUUAAGAUUCAUUGAGUUGCUGCAUACUUUGGUUAAAAAAACAAAAACACACCUAUAAGUAUGUCAGUUUGCUAUCAAAGGCAUGUUAUCACAAUACUGUGGCUGCUAAAAUGAGCCAUGGCUUCACAAUAUCCCAAGAAUUAAACAGAACGUACUCCACCCAGUUAUUUACUCCAAUGAUUUCAAGUGAAUCUAUAACAUUUUAUAAAACUAUUAUCCCGAUUGCCCAUAGAGGGCCUAGUACAUCACUAGGAUCCAAUACAUAGUAAAGAAGGUGGUAUUCACUUCAAUGGUUUAAUAUAAGCCAUUAAUGCCAUCAUUAAAGAAGUUCCUUAUAUUUCAUAAUUAGAAAACCACGUUUCACUCAAUUUAAAAUUCAGAAGCACUGUUGUCUUUGAUUUCCUUGACUGGAAGCAAAGGAAUAAUUAAAUGCAUCACACAAAUGUAAACAUUACCAAAAAUUCUUUGUAAAAAGUCAUUUAAUAUCCUUAGGAGAGUGGCAGGUUUCUGUUACCCUCCAAGAUUGUACUUAACCCCUUCUUCCUCUAAAAAAAUCCUUUAGAAGUUGAAAGACAAAAAGUAUUGAUGAAUUAUUUUUACUAUCAUUUCUACAACUAAUUUUCAGGGAUAAGAAGGGUGAAAGUCUGUGGUACUGAUACUUCCCAUUAGUACUAUCUAUUCAUUGAUUUUGAAGGCAGCUUUUGGAUCAUAAUUGCAAAGUACAGAUUUCAUCACAUACCUUUAUAAAAACCACAUUUGGGGUAUGUGGAUAACAGAAUUUUGAACAAGGCAAGUGGAGCCAAUCUACUCCAAAAACUAUGGAUCCCACAGAUUAUAAUACCUUAAAAAGUAUUUAAAGAAUAUUUCCAGUCAUUGUAUUUAUACACGGUUCCCUGCUGGAAAACCUUUUAUUUCUUAAGCUCGAAUGCGACUAGUUAGAGGCCAAAACCCAAGAUUAUACAUUGGCAAUACUGAAAUAAAAAAAAAAAUACAUCUUAGUAAAACCUUGUUAUAAAUGAAAAGGUUUCCCAAACUGUACUUCCAGGGAGAGUAGAAAUCUUCCUCAACUUCCACGUCACUCACUGAAGUAAAAUUUUUAUAGAAAAUUUUAUUCAACAUACAACAUUUUCCAGCAAAAAGGCAAUAUACAGGAAGAGUUGUUGUACACUGCUGCUACAGAAACAAAAAAA
rnacentral:lncRNA from 1 species